rnacentral:rRNA from 1 species
UACAGAGGUGGCAAGCGUUGUUCGGAAUUACUGGGCGUAAAGGGCGCGUAGGCGGCCUUCUAAGUCAGACGUGAAAUCCCCAGGCUCAACCUGGGAACUGCGUCCGAUACUGGAUGGCUUGAAUCCGGGAGAGGGAUGCAGAAUUCCAGGUGUAGCGGUGAAAUGCGUAGAUAUCUGGAGGAAUACCGGUGGCGAAGGCGGCAUCCUGGACCGGCAUUGACGCUGAGGAGCGAAAGCCAGGGGAGCAAACGGA